AGAGAAUAGAUACCCUGGUAGUCCACGCUGUAAACGAUGAGUGCUAGGUGUUGGCCAGCGAUGGUCAGUGCCGAAGUAAACACAAUAAGCACUCCGCCUGGGGAGUGCGGUCGCAAGACUGAAACUCAAAGGAAUUGACGGGGACCCGCACAAGCAGCGGAGCAUGUGGUUUAAUUCGAAGCAACGCGAAGAACCUUACCAAGGCUUGACAUCCCCUUGACCGGCACAGAGAUGUGCCCUCUCCUUCGGGAGCAAGGGUGACAGGUGGUGCAUGGUUGUCGUCAGCUCGUGUCGUGAGAUGUUUGGAUUAAGUCCCGCAACGAGCGCAACCCUUAUCCUUAGUUGCCAGCAAGUAAUGUUGGGCACUCUAGGGAGACUGCCGAUGAUAAAUCGGAGGAAGGUGGGGAUGACGUCAAAUCAUCAUGCCCCUUAUGUCUUGGGCUACACACGUGCUACAAUGGUCGUACAACGGGAAGCGAAAGAGUGAUCUGGAGCAAAUCCCAAUAAA
rnacentral:rRNA from 1 species